rnacentral:tRNA from 1 species
GCCCGGGUGGCGAAAUUGGUAGGCGCAGGGGACUUAAAAUCCCCUUCCCGCAAGGGAGUGCGGGUUCGAGUCCCGCCCCGGGCACCA